CAGUAACGGCGAGUGAAGCGGCAACAGCUCAAAUUUGAAAUCUGGCGCCUUGUGCGCCCGAGUUGUAAUUUGUAGAGGAUGUUUCGGGUGCGGCACCGAUCUAAGUUCCUUGGAACAGGGCGUCAUAGAGGGUGAGAAUCCCGUAUGUGACCGGUCGCCUAUCCCAUGUGAAACUCCUUCGACGAGUCGAGUUGUUUGGGAAUGCAGCUCAAAAUGGGUGGUAUAUUUCAUCUAAAGCUAAAUAUUGGCCAGAGACCGAUAGCGCACAAGUAGAGUGAUCGAAAGAUGAAAAGCACUUUGGAAAGAGAGUUAAAAAGUACGUGAAAUUGUUGAAAGGGAAGCGCUUGCGACCAGACUCGCCCGGGGGUGAUCAACCGUCCUUUUGGGCGGUGCACUUUCCCUCGGGCGGGCCAGCAUCGGUUCGGGCGGCUGGAUAAAGGCUUCGGGAAUGUAGCUCCUCUCGGGGAGUGUUAUAGCCCGGGGUGCAAUGCAGCCAGUCUGGACCGAGGACCGCGCUUUUGCUAGGAUGCUGGCGUAAUGGUCGUCAGCGACCCGUCUUGAAACACGGACCAAGGAGUUAACCACCGGUGCGAGUGUUUGGGUGUCAAACCCGUACGCGUAAUGAAAGUGAACGGAGGUGAGAACCCCUUUCGGGGCGCAUCAUCGACCGAUCCUGAUGUCUUCGGAUGGAUUUGAGUAAGAGCACCGUUGGUUUGACCCGAAAGAUGGUGAUCUUUACGCGGAUAGGGUGAAGCCAGAGGAAACUCUGGUGGAGGCUCGCAGCGGUUCUGACGUGCAAAUCGAUCGUCAAAUCUAC
rnacentral:rRNA from 1 species